rnacentral:ncRNA from 1 species
GUGCGUCUUCAGGGCGGGGUGCAAUUCCCCACCGGCGGUAUGCCGGCCGCGCCGCAAGGCCAGCCAGCGAGCCCGCGAGCGCCUGCGCGCGUUGUUUUUUCCCGCGCGCAGGGUCAGCAGAUCUGGUGCGAAGCCAGAGCCGACGGUCAUAGUCCGGAUGAGAGAAGAUGUGC